AAGUCAUAACAGUUUGGAACCGUUGGUUUUGUGGAAAGGUAUUGGUCAAAGAGUUUGGAUUGUGAUUGUCGGGUUAAAAUGCUACUGCAGUAGGUGCAACAGUGGCAGGCGGUGUUGCUGCAAGUAAAACAUUGCUAAUGAUGCUCCUUAAAUUGCAAAUAAACUUGGUGAAGACCUUUGUAAAGUAAUAUCGCGAGAAGAAGUCUUCAAGUUAACAACGGUACAUAAACUGUGGGGCCUCUAAGAUCUUCACCAACCUAGAGCCUAGAAUCUGGGGCCGAGAGGCUAUCCUUACCAACCUCUUGUCUUUGCGAUUUGGCCUACUGUCUGAAACACUUCGAAUGAGAGGUGACUAAUCAAAAAUUCUGCAGGAUUCUUAUGUAGCUUCAACCAUUAGUUUCAAGGAAACAUGCUUCAGGUUUGAACUGCAAAUACCACAGGUUACAGUUCCUUUGUCAACAUAGCUGUGAUGACUACAUGCUACAGCAUCUUAAGCUCUGGCAUCUCAGGAACUGAAGACCGAGUGGUUGCAAGGAAACAAAAACAGGUGGCUUGAACCAGCCUGGGCAGAGAGGAUUUGUAUAACAUGGAUACAAAGGAGUCUUCCGCCAAUGUGAACAGCAAAAUCCUUCAUACUCACGAGUUCAAGUAACUAGUGGAAACUACCUUCAGCAGCAACAACAAUACUUUCAUAUGCAACUGAUGUGUAAAUCCGUGGCUAUGAGCAUGAACUGCUCCUCCCUUAUUAUUUGUUAACUUUGU